rnacentral:rRNA from 2 species
GGAUGCGAUCAUACCGGCACUAAAGCACCGGAUCCCAUCAGAACUUUGAAGUUAAACUUGCUUGGGCGAGAGUAGUACUAGGAUGGGUGACCUCCUGGGAAGUCCUCGUGUUGCAUUCC